rnacentral:rRNA from 1 species
AGCAGCCGCCGCGGGAACACGGAGGGAGCUAGCGUUGUUCGGAAUUACUGGGCGUAAAGCGCACGUAGGCGGUUAUUCAAGUCAGAGGUGAAAGCCCGGGGCUCAACCCCGGAACUGCCUUUGAAACUAGGUGACUAGAAUCUUGGAGAGGUCAGUGGAAUUCCGAGUGUAGAGGUGAAAUUCGUAGAUAUUCGGAAGAACACCAGUGGCGAAGGCGACUGACUGGACAAGUAUUGACGCUGAGGUGCGAAAGCGUGGGGAGCAAACAGGAUUAGAUACCCGCGUAGUCCCUGUCUCUUAUAC